UGCCAGACUCCUACGGGAGGCAGCAGUGAGGAAUAUUGGUCAAUGGCCGUAAGGCUGAACCAGCCAAGUAGCGUGAGGGAAGACUGCCCUAUGGGUUGUAAACCUCUUUUAUGCGGGGAUAAAGGUGUCCACGUGUGGAUGUUUGCAGGUACCGCAUGAAUAAGGACCGGCUAAUUCCGUGCCAGCAGCCGCGGUAAUACGGAGGAUCCGAGCGUUAUCCGGAUUUAUUGGGUUUAAAGGGAGCGUAGGUGGAUUGUUAAGUCAGUUGUGAAAGUUUGCGGCUCAACCGUAAAAUUGCAGUUGAAACUGGCAGUCUUGAGUACAGUAGAGGUGGGCGGAAUUCGUGGUGUAGCGGUGAAAUGCAUAGAUAUCACGCAGAACUCCGAUUGCGAAGGCAGCAUACCGGCGCCCAACUGACGCUGAAGCACGAAAGCGUGGGUAUCGAACAGGAUUAGAUACCCGAGUA
rnacentral:rRNA from 1 species